rnacentral:rRNA from 1 species
AGUGAACGCUGGCGGUAGGCCUAACACAUGCAAGUCGAACGAGAUCUUCGGAUCUAGUGGCAGACGGGUGAGGAACACGUGGGAACAUCCCUUUCAGUUCGGAAUAACGUUGGGAAACUAACGCUAAUACCGGAUACGUCCUUCGGGAGAAAGAUUUAUCGCUGAAAGAUUGGCCCGCGUCUGAUUAGCUAGUUGGUGAGGUAACGGCUCACCAAGGCUACGAUCAGUAGCUGAUCUGAGAGGAUGAUCAGCCACAUUGGGACUGAGACACGGCCCAAACUCCUACGGGAGGCAGCAGUGGGGAAUAUUGGACAAUGGGCGCAAGCCUGAUCCAGCCAUGCCGCGUGAGUGAUGACGGCCUUCGGGUUGUAAAGCUCUUUUGUCCGGGAAGAUAAUGACUGUACCGGAAGAAUAAGCCCCGGCAAACUUCGUGCCAGCAGCCGCCGUAA